GAUUAACGCUGGCGGCGUGCCUAACACAUGCAGGUCGAACGAUGAAACUUUAAUGACCCCUUCGGGGAGAAUUAAAGCGGCUUAGUGGCGAACGGGUGAGUACCGCGUGAGUAACCUGCCUUACACAAGGGGAUAGCCUUUGGAAACGAAGAAUAAUACCCUAUAAAACCAUAAAAGCACAUGCAAUUAUGGUCAAAGUGAUAGCGGUGUAAGAUGGACUUGCGUCUGAUUAGCUAGUUGGUGAGAUAAAAGCCCACCAAGGCAACGAUCAGUCGCCGGCAUGAGAGAGUGUACGGCAACAUUGGGACUGAGACACGGCCCAGACUCCUACGGGAGGCAGCAGUGGGGAAUGUGGCACAAUGGGGGAAACCCGGAGGCAGCGACGCCGCGAGAUUUAGAAGGCCUUCGGGUUGUAAAAAGCUUUUGUAUAGGAAGAAAAUGACAGUACUAUACGAAUAAGGUCCGGCUAAUUACGUG
rnacentral:rRNA from 1 species